GAAGCUGUGUACUGGUUUUGAUGCUGGUGGUCACCCAUAGGGCUGUCCAUCCUAGAAUUUACAUACAUGAGGAAAUCUGUUUGAAGAUCUGAAAACUGAAAAUGUUACAUCACCUCUAAGACCAUCCCUACGUCACCCUUCUACAUUGUGAAAUACAUCUGAGAAGAGCAUGAAAAUUGGAAACUCCGGUAUAUAUUGAGAAUGUGUGACUGCAGCAUCAUCAAAACCUUGCUAAUGCACAGCACCUCACCCCCAGGAAUACCAUUUCCUUCUAGGAAACAUGAUCCGUAAUUCAGUCCUGCUACUUCUCCUCAGCCCUUGCUUUCUGAAAUCUACUGCUGUGAUUUUGAGCUCUGUCUGAAUAAAGAUUAAGAUCAUAUUUCA